UUUUUAUGCAUUCAUCAUUUAGAUAAGCAUAGCAUAUUGCAUCAUUAGUGCGUAGCAUUUCCAUGAUCAUGGGGCAUUGCACUAAAAAAAAAAAGAAAAAAAAACUCAUGCAUCAGCAUUGCAAACAUAUCCAUUAGCCCAAGACCGUGGUGACCACCGGAUGGGUUGUCGGAAAGCGUUUAGCAUCACGCCAUUGGAUCGAUUUCAGAAUUGGGUUCCCCAGUAUGGUUGAGAGGUUGGUGCUUUC
rnacentral:lncRNA from 1 species